rnacentral:rRNA from 1 species
UCAGACGAUGCGUCAUGCAUAUCAAUAAGCGGAGGAAAAGAAACUAACAAGGAUUCCCCUAGUAACGGCGAGUGAAGCGGGAAGAGCUCAAAUUUGAAAUCUUAUAAGGGUUUCCCUUUACGAAUUGUAGUUUAAAGAAGUGUUUUCUGUUGAGGUUUUGGUAAAAGUUCUUUGGAAUAGGACAUCAUAGAGGGUGAGAAUCCCGUAUUUGACCUUUACUUUCAACUUUGUGAUACACUUUCAAAGAGUCGGAUUGUUUGGGAAUGCAGUCCAAAAUGGGUGGUAAAUUUCAUCUAAAGCUAAAUAUUGGCGAGAGACCGAUAGCGAACAAGUACCGUGAGGGAAAGAUGAAAAGAACUUUGAAAAGAGAGUUAAACAGUACGUGAAAUUGUCAAAAGGGAAGCGUUUGACACCAGUGUUGUUUUUCUGAAAAUCAAUUAAAGAACUGUUUAUGCUAAGUUGUUUAGACUUUAUCAGCUAACUGUUUAGUUUUGAGCUUUUCUUUAAUGCACUUUUCAGUUAACAAGUCAACAUCAAUUUCUUUUGCUGUAAAAAAGCUUGAGGAAGGUGGCUUGAGAUUCGUCUUAAGUGUUUAUAGCCUCUUGCCUAUGCAGUCGGAGAGAUUGAGGUCUGCAGCGUAGAUCCUUCGGGGCUAAAUGCAUUUGUGCUAAGUUAUAACAUUUUAUAGACAACUUGUUGACUAUGAUUUGUCUUGUAGCUUACUCGCUUAUGUUAUUUUACCUACGCUUAGGAUGUUGAAGAUGUAGCACAUCAU